rnacentral:rRNA from 1 species
UUACCCAGGCUUGACAUGUUGGUAGUAGGGAUCCGAAAGGUGACCGACCCUUCGGGGAGCCUUCACAGGUGCUGCAUGGCUGUCGUCAGCUCGUGUCGUGAGAUGUCCGGUUAAGUCCGGUAACGAGCGCAACCCUUCGCUGUGUGUUAUAUGUGUCACACGGGACUGCCGGUAUCAAGCCGGAGGAAGGUGGGGAUGACGUCAAGUCAGCAUGGCCUUUAUGUCUGGGGCUACACACACGCUACAAUGGCCAGUACAAUAGGUUGCAAGACCGCGAGGUGGAGCCAAUCCUUAAAGCUGGUCUCAGUUCGGAUUGCAGGCUGCAACUCGCCUGCAUGAAGUCGGAGUUGCUAGUAACCGCGCGUCAGCUAUAGUGCGGUGAAUACGUUCCCGGGCCUU